UACAGAGGGUGCGAGCGUUAAUCGGAAUUACUGGGCGUAAAGCGUGCGUAGACGGUUAUUUAAGUCGGGUGUGAAAGCCCCGGGCUCAACCUGGGAAUUGCAUUCGAGACUGAAUAGCUAGGGUACGGUAGAGGGAAGUGGAAUUUCCGGUGUAGCGGUGAAAUGCGUAGAGAUGCGGAGGAACACCGAUGGCGAAGGCAGCCCCCUGGGUCGACACUGACGCUCAGGCACGAAAGCGUGGGGAGCAAACAGG
rnacentral:rRNA from 1 species